rnacentral:tRNA from 1 species
GGUUCCGUGGCCGAGUGGCUAGGCAGAGGUCUGCAAAACCUUUUACGGCGGUUCGAAUCCGUCCGGAACCU